GCUGGGUGUGGUGGCACACACCUGUAAUCCCAGUAGCUCCGGAAGCUGAGGCAGGAGGAUUGCAAGUCCCUUUCAGCAAUUUGGCCCCAGGUAACUUAGCCAGACCCUGUGUCUA
rnacentral:sRNA from 1 species